rnacentral:rRNA from 1 species
CCAGACCCCUACGGGAGGCAGCAGUGAGGAAUAUUGGUCAAUGGGCGGAAGCCUGAACCAGCCAAGUCGCGUGAGGGAAUAAGGCCCUACGGGUCGUAAACCUCUUUUGCCGGGGAGCAAGGGCGGGGACGUGUCCCGGCCCGGAGAGUACCCGGAGAAAAAGCAUCGGCUAACUCCGUGCCAGCAGCCGCGGUAAUACGGAAGGUCCGGGCGUUAUCCGGAUUUAUUGGGUUUAAAGGGAGCGUAGGCCGGUGUUAAGUCGUGCGGUGAAAUUUUGUGGCUCAACCAGGAGAGUGCGGCGCGAACUGGAGACCUUGAGUGCGCGGAGGGCAGGCGGAAUUCGUGGUGUAGCGGUAAAAUGCUUAGAUAUCACGAAGAACCCCGAGUGCGAAGGCAGCCUGCCGCAGCGUUACUGACGCUGAAGCUCGAAAGCGCGGGUAUCGAACAGGAUUAGAUCCCCUAGUA